rnacentral:lncRNA from 1 species
UACAUUUUAAAUCUUAAAACAUCCUACUUAACAAAUCAUAUUAGAUUCAUUAGGUUCCCUAACUCCUUGUGGAUUUGAUCCCUAAGUACUGCAAUUGAACUUCUUAUUUGAGAGAGUAAAUUCACUCUGAGUGAUAUCACACAUCAACUCCGAAAAACAACAUUCCAUAGUUUAGAACACCAAAAAUUUCAAACAACAAAGUUUCAAAACAUAACAUAGAGCAAAACAUCUUGUGACAGCAUGACCAAAAGAGCAUUUGGCAAUCUCUUA